GACGAACGCUGGCGGCGUGCUUAACACAUGCAAGUCGAACGCUGAAGCUCAGCUUUUGUUGGGUGGAUGAGUGGCGAACGGGUGAGUAACACGUGAGUAACCUGCCCCCUUCUUUGGGAUAACGCCCGGAAACGGGUGCUAAUACUGGAUAUUCACUGGUCUUCGCAUGGGGGUUGGUGGAAAGGGUUUUUCUGGUGGGGGAUGGGCUCGCGGCCUAUCAGCUUGUUGGUGGGGUGAUGGCCUACCAAGGCUUUGACGGGUAGCCGGCCUGAGAGGGUGACCGGUAACAGUGGGACUGAGAUACGGCCCAGACUACUACGGGAGGCAGCAGUGGGGAAUAUUGCACAAUGGGCGAAAGCCUGAUGCAGCGACGCCGCGUGAGGGAUGGAGGCCUUCGGGUUGUGAACCUCUUUCGCUAAUGGUCAAGCCGCAACAAUGGUUGUGGUGAGGGUAGUGGGUAAAGAAGCGCCGGCUAACUACGUG
rnacentral:rRNA from 1 species